rnacentral:rRNA from 1 species
AGAGUGAACGCUGGCGGCAGGCCUAAUACAUGCAAGUCGAACGGCAGCACGGCAGAGCUUGCUCUGUGGGUGGCGAGUGGCGGACGGGUGAGGAAUACAUGGGAAUCUGCCCAGUCGUGGGGGAUAACGUAGGGAAACUUACGCUAAUACCGCAUGCGCCCUUCGGGGGAAAGCCGGGGACCUUCGGGCCUGGCGCGAUUGGAUGAGCCCAUGUCGGAUUAGCUAGUUGGCGGGUAACGGCCCACCAAGGCGACGAUCCGUAGCUGGUCUGAGAGGAUGAUCAGCCACACUGGAACUGAGACACGGUCCAGACUCCUACGGGAGCAGCAGUAGGGAAUAUUGGACAAGUGGGCGACAAAGCCUAGACUCCAGCCAUCGCCGCGUGAGUAGAAGAGGUCCGUCGGUUAGUAAAGCUUACGUUUGUACCGGUAAAGAAACGUCGUUACGGACAACGUACCCGGA